rnacentral:lncRNA from 1 species
CUGCCACUCUGCAACUGCCACUCUGCAACGGUUUCCCACAGGACAUCUUCUGGAUAUAUGCCCAGGAGAGGGUACCACUGCUGAUGCCACAGACAGAGUGUGAAGGAGUUGAGGAUGGAGAUACGCAGUUGAAGAUAAAAGCUGGGCUGACUGUUAUGUAAUCUGUAUCCCUGCUUUAAAGCAUCUACUAACUGAGUUGCUGCAGUUUUUCUGAGGAAGUUGCAUUCUAAAUGUGCACAGUACAAAGUGAUUCUAUUCUUCUGUCUCAAGAAGCGAUCAUGAGACAUUAGAAGACUAGAGUGCAAUACUAAUCAGAUACAUUUCUAAAUGAGACAAUACUGUUGAAUAAUUACCAAGACAAAUGGACUGGGACUCAUUUGCCACAUGGCUGCUAUGCUUGGAUCAAAGGUCACAAGGUAUCCACUCUGUCUGAGAUGCCCAUCUGCCACAAUGUGCUAAUUACAGAUGAGAGAUUUGAAGACAAGUGGGAUAAGCAUCAUUUCAAACAUCAUGUACAUAGUGGAACCAAAGGCCAAAUUUAAGUUUAUGAAUUCAAAUUUCUUUCUUUCUCACACUACCAUAGCAUUUUAAGACACAAGUGAGGAUAAUAGGAAAGAAGCCUGCUCUCACUGACAUUCUCCUUCCAACAGUGGUCCUUUUCCUAACCCUCUCAAACAGUUCUGCCAAGUGGCAAACAAAUAUUCAAAUAUAAGAGCCUUUGGAGGCCAUUCUCAUUCAAACCACCAUGAUCUACCUCUCCUAUUCUAUAGUCAUAAUUUCAAGAAUUAUUCACAAUGAGGAUUUAUACAUCACUGGUUUUGUAAAUUUCCAUUAGUCCAAUUUACAGUGCUCAUGUUGUUACAUUCAAAAUUGUUGGUAAUUUUAUGGUCCACAAUAAAGUGCUAAUUUGUUUAUGUACCAAA